rnacentral:lncRNA from 1 species
NNNAUCGGUAAAUCGGUAGAAAUGGAGAAACCAACACGGGGACACAGAUACAUGACCAUCAACUCAACUACAGACGCUGUUUGGAUCCAGCUGGCUUCCCCGUGAAUGCCUGGUCCCGCUCAGGAUCUCACACAGAGUCUCCCCUGAAUCCCACAGCUGGAGCGCUGACACAGGGCGUCAUUUGAGACUCACUUGCAUGCAGCAAGACAGCCGCAGGGCGCCAGAACGCUAGCUACGGAAUCCAUUCAAUCCUGACUUCACUGUGACUGUGGAACGAGGCCAAAGCCAGGGGUGCCAGGAGCACCGCUUUUCUGAAUCAGCGACCGCGGCGGGAGCCGCAGCGACCUCGCGGGGCCGCGUCCCCGAGUCCCUGGCUCGGAGCCACUUGGGUGGCUCGAACUUGGGCAGACUGGACCGUCUCCUUCCUAGUCUUUCUGCGGUGCCCUCUGAACAGUAUUGGGGUGGGAAAACCGAGAGAGACCCCUGCACACCUGGGACGGUGGGGCUUGGGCUGAGGGGCUGUGUCCCGUGCCCACCUGGGGGCAGAGGCUCCACCUGUGAGCUCCGUGCCCACGGCUGUCCCUCUCCUCCCCGCUCCUCCCCAGGCCCCAGACAGUUCAUUCCGCACAGCUGCCCCUGCAGUCAUCUUUCCAUUUCCCUUCCCCCGUGCUGGCCCCGCAGAAUACCCCUGGCUUUACUUUGUAAAUCUAGGAACCUCCAGACACAGCACAAAGAGCUGCUGAGUCUGCAGCCAGAACCUGGGGUCCCAAGCCCCAGGCUGCAGGGUCUUCACCCGGGGAAGAUUUCGAACCCAGCAGAGGUCGGGGGCACAGUGACACCUGUGGCAGCUGCCAGCUCCUGCUCAGCUGUCCCCUGGCUCAGGGGCUGUCCCCUGGCUCAGGGACCGUCCCUUCUCCCAGUUUCCUGUGGUUACCCCACUCUCACUUCAUCUACUCAGGACAAUGAGACCCAACAAACCCUCUCCUACCACGUGGCAGUGAAGCAGAAAUUACCCCCAAACGUGGUCGUAAACGGCCUGGGUGGCAGUGACAUGCCCGUGUGGGCUCCUGAUGGUGAUAGGUGCAGGGCUGUGGGGCCCAGAGUUCCCCGGGCGCAGGCUGAAUAG